UGACCCUAAGAUAAAACCAAUCAA
rnacentral:snRNA from 1 species